GUAGGGGGCUAGCGUUGUCCGGAAUCAUUGGGCGUAAAGCGCGUGUAGGCGGUCCGGUAAGUCCGCUGUGAAAGUCGGGGGCUCAACCCUCGGAUGCCGGUGGAUACUGUCGGGCUUGAGUACGGAAGAGGCGAGUGGAAUUCCUGGUGUAGCGGUGAAAUGCGCAGAUAUCAGGAGGAACACCAAUUGCGAAGGCAGCUCGCUGGGACGUUACUGACGCUGAGACGCGAAAGCGUGGGGAGCAAACAGGAUUAGAUACCCUGGUAGUCCACGCUGUAAACGAUGGGCACUAGGUGUGGGGGGUGUCGACUCCCUCCGUGCCGAAGCUAACGCAUUAAGUGCCCCGCCUGGGGAGUACGGCCGCAAGGCUA
rnacentral:rRNA from 1 species